rnacentral:rRNA from 1 species
CGUUGAGGUGGUUUCGUAAGUUGGAUGUGAAAGCCCCGAGCUCAACUCGGGGAGGUCGUUCAAUACUGCGAGACUUGAGGGCAGUAGAGGGAGGUGGAAUUUCCGGUGUAGUGGUGAAAUGCGUAGAUAUCGGAAGGAACACCAGUGGCGAAGGCGGCCUCCUGGACUGUCCCUGACACUGAAGGCGAAAGCUAGGGGAGCGAACG